rnacentral:rRNA from 1 species
UACGGAGGGUGCGAGCGUUAAUCGGAAUUACUGGGCGUAAAGGGUGCGUAGGUGGUUGAGUAAGUUAACUGUGAAAGCCCUGGGCUUAACCUGGGAAGGCCAGUUAAGACUGUUUGACUAGAGUAUGGGAGAGGGUAGUGGAAUUUCCGGUGUAGCGGUGAAAUGCGUAGAUAUCGGAAGGAACACCAGUGGCGAAGGCGGCUACCUGGCCUAAUACUGACACUGAGGCACGAAAGCGUGGGGAGCAAACAGG